rnacentral:tRNA from 1 species
ACCCUAGUAGUCUAGUGGACAUGGCAUCUGCCCGGUAAGCGGAACAGUGUGGGUUCGAUUCCAUCCCUGGACA